rnacentral:lncRNA from 1 species
GAGUAUGUAUGCAUUGGUGUAUAGAAGACUUUGCGUAUUGGGAAAAUAUAUACUUUUCUUUAAAACACCAUAAUACUAUAGGUGUUGGAUAUUAUUUAGUUGAUCUGUAUUUCAUGGAGAUAGAGUUUACUAACGGUUUCUUGAAUUAAGAGUGUUUGAUGUAACAGUUGCACAACUUUUUCCACUUUCCCGACAUUGUGAACUACUUGGCUUGAUUGUCUUCCUUUGAGGGUUGUUCUGUUCUUCAUUUUUCAUUGUUAAAUUAUCC